rnacentral:rRNA from 1 species
GACGAACGCUGGCGGCGUGCUUAACACAUGCAAGUCGAACGAUGAAGCCUUCGGGUGGAUUAGUGGCGAACGGGUGAGUAACACGUGGGUGAUCUGCCCUGCACUUCGGGAUAAGCUUGGGAAACUGGGUCUAAUACCGGAUAUACCUCUUUGACUGCAUGGUCUUGGGGGGAAAGCUUUUGCGGUGUGGGAUGGGCCCGCGGCCUAUCAGCUUGUUGGUGGGGUUAAGGCCUACCAAGGCGACGACGGGUAGCCGGCCUGAGAGGGUGUCCGGCCACACUGGGACUGAGAUACGGCCCAGACUCCUACGGGAGGCAGCAGUGGGGAAUAUUGCACAAUGGGCGCAAGCCUGAUGCAGCGACGCCGCGUGAGGGAUGACGGCCUUCGGGUUGUAAACCUCUUUCAGCAGGGACGAAGCGCAAGUGACGGUACCUGUAGAAGAAGCACCGGCCAACUAC